rnacentral:rRNA from 1 species
UACGGAGGGUGCGAGCGUUGUCCGGAAUCACUGGGCGUAAAGGGCGCGUAGGCGGCCUGAUAAGUAGGGGUGAAAUCCUGCGGCUUAACCGCAGGGCUGCCUUCUAAACUGUCAGGCUAGAGCACAGUAGAGGCAGGUGGAAUUCCCGGUGUAGCGGUGGAAUGCGUAGAGAUCGGGAAGAACAUCAGUGGCGAAGGCGGCCUGCUGGGCUGUUGCUGACGCUGAGGCGCGACAGCCGUGGGGAGCAAACAGG